AAGGGGAGCAAUCCCUGAGUAAAGUGGCGCACGGGUGAGUAACACGUGAAUGAUCUACCUCCGAGUGGGGAAUAACUGAGAGAAAUCUUAGCUAAUACCGCAUAACACUUACGAGUCAAAGCAGCAAUGCGCUUGGAGAGGAGUUCGCGGCCGAUUAGUUAGUUGGCGGGGUAAUGGCCCACCAAGACGAUGAUCGGUAUCCGGCCUGAGAGGGCGCACGGACACACUGGAACUGAAACACGGUCCAGACUCCUACGGGAGGCAGCAGUGGGGAAUUUUGCGCAAUGGGGGAAACCCUGACGCAGCAACGCCGCGUGGAGGAUGAAAUAUCUUGGUAUGUAAACUCCUUUCGAUGGGGAAGAUUAUGACGGUACCCAUAGAAGAAGCCCCGGCUAACUUCGUGCCAGCAGCCGCGGUAAUACGAGGGGGGCAAGCGUUGUUCGGAUUUAUUGGGCGUAAAGGGUGCGUAGGCGGUUUGGCAAGUCUUAUGUGAAAUCUUCGGGCCCAACCCGAAGCCUGCAUAAGAAACUGCCGGGCUUGAGUAUGGGAGAGGUGAGUGGAAUUUCCGGUGUAGCGGUGAAAUGCGUAGAUAUCGGAAGGAACACCUGUGGCGAAAGCGGCUCACUGGACCAUAACUGACGCUGAUGCACGAA
rnacentral:rRNA from 1 species